GUGAGGAAUAUUGGUCAAUGGGCGAGAGCCUGAACCAGCCAAGUCGCGUGAAGGAAGAAGGAUCUAUGGUUCGUAAACUUCUUUUGCAGGGGAAUAAAGUGCGGGACGUGUCCUGUUUUGUAUGUACCCUGAGAAUAAGGAUCGGCUAACUCCGUGCCAGCAGCCGCGGUAAUACGGAGGAUCCGAGCGUUAUCCGGAUUUAUUGGGUUUAAAGGGUGCGUAGGUGGUUUGAUAAGUCAGCGGUGAACGUUUGCAGCUUAACUGUAAAAAUGCCGUUGAAACUGUCGGACUUGAGUGUAAAUGAGGUAGGCGGAAUGCGUGGUGUAGCGGUGAAAUGCAUAGAUAUCACGCAGAACUCCGAUUGCGAAGGCAGCUUACUAAGCUACAACUGACACUGAAGCACGAAAGCGUGGGGAUCAAACAGGAUUAGAAACCCUGGUAGUCC
rnacentral:rRNA from 1 species